UAAGUUAACAAAUUUCACGUCACAUGCCGAUGAUAAUAAACCUGAUUCUGAUUCUGGCUUCAAGAGGAAUUGACAAAUCAGAAAUUAAUGGACACUAAGGAAAGUCCAGGUGGUGUGGCUAUAUUUCUGAGCCUUACAGCUUGACGUCCCUCCAGCACAGGCCGAGUGGCUAGCUCGACACUCAACCCGGCAUGGAUGGAAAGCGUGCUCAGGGGUGGUCCGACCUGGAUUCGAACUCUGGGACCUUCGUUCCGGAGUCCGGCGCCGAUCUCACUGCGCCAGCAGCCAGCCAAAACUGAAAGUAUUUACUAUGGUGGAGAGAGUGCAGGUACCCUACUCCCACAUCAAUACACAGCAGCACAGAUCUGAAACACAAUGAGCCCUUAACAAGAUGGAAA